GUUGAACGCUGGCGGCAGGCCUAACACAUGCAAGUCGAGCGGAUGAAGGCAGCUUGCUCCUGGAUUCCGCGGCGGACGCGUGAGUGAUACCUAUGAGUCUGCCUGGUAGUGGGGGGUAACGUCCGGAAACGGGCGCUACUACCACCUACUUCCUGCGCGAGCAGCAUGGGGGUCUUCGGAACUCUCGCUCUCAGGUGAGCCUAGGCCGGAGUAGCUAGCUGGUGGGUUAAAUGCCUGCUAAGGCGACGAUCCGUAACUGGUCUGAGAGGAUGAUCAGUCACACGGGAACUGAGACGCGGUCCAGACUCCUACGGGAGGCAGCAGUGGGGAAUAGGGGACAAUGGGCGAAAGCCUGAUCCAGUCAGGCGGCGUGUGUGAAGAAGGUGUUCGGAUUGGAAAGCACGUUAAGUUGGGAGGAAGGGCAGUAAGUUAAUACGUUGCUGUUGUGACGUUAACAAGAGAAGAAGCACCGGCUAACUACGUG
rnacentral:rRNA from 1 species